CUUUCAACAACGGAUCUCUUGGUUCCAGCAUCGAUGAAGAACGCAGCGAAAUGCGAUAAGUAAUGUGAAUUGCAGAAUUCAGUGAAUCAUCGAAUCUUUGAACGCACAUUGCGCCCCUCGGUAUUCCGGGGGGCAUGCCUGUUCGAGCGUCAUUGCACCCCUC
rnacentral:rRNA from 1 species